GUAAGUAAAAGUCGUAACAAGGUUUCCGUAGGUGAGCCUGCGGAAGGAUCAUUACAAAAUGUUAUGGGAUGUCCUAACGGGCACCCAAGCAAACACAUCCAUGUUAAACUUUUGAAACAAUUACUAGUCUGAUAAGGCCAUAUGCUGUAAAAAUUUAAAUAUAUUAAAACUUUCAACAACGGAUCUCUUGGCUCUC
rnacentral:misc_RNA from 1 species